rnacentral:rRNA from 1 species
GGGUUGUGAGGUUAAGCGACUAAGCGUACACGGUGGAUACCACGGCAGUCAGAGGCGAUGAAGGACGUGCUAAUCUACGAUAAGCGUCGGUAAGGUAUUAUGAACCGUUAUAGCAAGCAUUUCCGAAUGGGGAAACCCAGUGUGUUUCGACACACUAUCAUUAACUGAAUCCAUAGGUUAAUGAGGCGAACCGGGGGAACUGAAACAUCUAAGUACCCCGAGGAAAAGAAAUCAACCGAGAUUCCCCCAGUAGCGGCGAGCGGAACGGGGAGCAGCCCAGAAGCCUGAAUCAGUGUGUGUGUUAGUGGAAGCGUCUGGAAAGGCGCGCGAUACAGGGUGACAGCCCCGUACACAAAAAUGCACAUACUGUGAGCUCGAUGAGUAGGGCGGGACACGUGGUAUCCCAAUAUUCAGUAUGGGGACCAUCCUCCAAGGCUAAAUACUCCUGACUGACCGAUAGUGAACCAGUACCGUGAGGGAAAGGCGAAAAGAACCCCGGCGAGGGGAGUGAAAAAGAACCUGAAACCGUGUACGUACAAGCAGUGGGAGCACGCUUAGGCGUGUGACUGCGUACCUUUUGUAUAAUGGGUCAGCGACUUAUAUUCUGUAGCAAGGUUAACCGAAUAGGGGAGCCGAAGGGAAACCGAGUCUUAACUGGGCGUUAAGUUGCAGGGUAUAGACCCGAAACCCGGUGAUCCCAACCAUGGGCAGGUUGAAGGUUGGGUAACACUAACUGGAGGACCGAACCAUUAUGUUGAAAAGAGUAUUAGCGAGAUGACUUGUGGCUGGGGGUGAAAGGCCAAUCAAACCGGGAGAUAGCUGGUUCUCCCCGAAAGCUAUUUAGGUAGCGCCUCGUGAAUUCAUCUCCGGGGGUAGAGCACUGUUUCGGCAAGGGGGUCAUCCCGACUUACCAACCCGAUGCAAACUGCGAAUACCGGAGAAUAUGUUAUCACAGGAGAACACACGGCGGGUGCUAACGUCCGUCGUGAAGAGGGGAAAGCAGUAGACCGCCAGCUAAGGUCCCAAAGUCAUGGUUAAGUGGGAAACGAUGUGGGAAGGCCCAGACAGCCAGGAUGUUGGCUUAGAAGCAGCCAUCAUUUAAAGAAAGCGUAAUAGCUCACUGGUCGAGUCGGCCUGCGCGGAAGAUGUAACGGGGCUAAACCAUGCACCGAAGCUGCGGCAGCGACGCUGAUGCGUUGUUGGGUAGGGGACCAGGAAAAGCCUCUAAGCAUCGGGUAACAUCAAAUCACGUACCCAAACCGACACAGGGUGGUCAGGUAAGAGGGAAGCCACCAAGGCGCUUGAGGGGCUUUCGAGGGUGAAGGGAACUAGGCAAAAUGGUGCCGUAACUUCCGGGGAGAAGGCACGCUGAUAUGUAGGUGAAGUCCCUCGCGGAUGAAUACGAAAUCAGUCGAAGAUACCAGCUGGCUGCAACUGUUUAUUAAAAACACAGCACUGUGCAAACACGAAAGUGGACGUAUACGGUGUGACGCCUGCCCGGUGCCGGAAGGUUAAUUGAUGGGGUUAGCGCAAGCGAAGCUCUUGAUCGAAGCCCCGGUAAACGGCGGCCGUAACUAUAACGGUCCUAAGGUAGCGAAAUUCCUUGUCGGGUAAGUUCCGACCUGCACGAAUGGCGUAAUGAUGGCCAGGCUGUCUCCACCCGAGACUCAGUGAAAUUGAACUCGCUGUGAAGAUGCAGUGUACCCGCGGCAAGACGGAAAGACCCCGUGAACCUUUACUAUAGCUUGACACUGAACAUUGAGCCUUGAUGUGUAGGAUAGGUGGGAGGCUUUGAAGUGUGGACGCCAGUCUGCAUGGAGCCGACCCGAAAUACCACCCCCAAUGUUUGAUGUUCUAACGUGGACCCGUAAUCCGGGUUGCGGACAGUGUCUGGUGGGUAGUUUGACUGGGGCGGUCUCCUCCUAAAGAGUAACGGAGGAGCACGAAGGUUGGCUAAUCCUGGUCGGACAUCAGGAGGUUAGUGCAAUGGCAUAAGCCAGCUUGACUGCGAGCGUGACGGCGCGAGCAGGUGCUGGGUCAUAGUGAUCCGGUGGUUCUGAAUGGAAGGGCCAUCGCUCAACGGAUAAAAGGUACUCCGGGGAUAACAGGCUGAUACCGCCCAAGAGUUCAUAUCGACGGCGGUGUUUGGCACCUCGAUGUCGGCUCAUCACAUCCUGGGGCUGAAGUAGGUCCCAAGGGUAUGGCUGUUCGCCAUUUAAAGUGGUACGCGAGCUGGGUUUAGAACGUCGUGAGACAGUUCGGUCCCUAUCUGCCGUGGGCGCUGGAGAACUGAGGGGGGCUGCUCCUAGUACGAGAGGACCGGAGUGGACGCAUCACUGGUGUUCGGGUUGUCAUGCCAAUGGCACUGCCCGGUAGCUAAAUGCGGAAGAGAUAAGUGCUGAAAGCAUCUAAGCACGAAACUUGCCCCGAGAUGAGUUCUCCCUGACCCUUUAAGGGUCCUGAAGGAACGUUGAAGACGACGACGUUGAUAGGCCGGGUGUGUAAGCGCAGCGAUGCGUUGAAGCUAGCAGAACACUAAUGAACCGUGAGGCUUAACCUUACAACGCCGAAGGUGUUU